CCGCGUGAGUGAUGAAGGCUUUCGGGUCGUAAAACUCUGUUGUUAGGGAAGAACAAGUACAAGAGUAACUGCUUGUACCUUGACGGUACCUAACCAGAAAGCCACGGCUAACUACGUGCCAGCAGCCGCGGUAAUACGUAGGUGGCAAGCGUUAUCCGGAAUUAUUGGGCGUAAAGCGCGCGCAGGCGGUUUCUUAAGUCUGAUGUGAAAGCCCACGGCUCAACCGUGGAGGGUCAUUGGAAACUGGGGGAACUUGAGUGCAGAAGAGAAAAAGCGGGAAUUCCACGUGUAGCGGUGAAAUGCGUAGAGAUGUGGAGGAACACCAGUGGCGAAGGCGGCUUUUUGGUCUGUAACUGACGCUGAGGCGCGAAAGCGUGGGGAGCAAACAGGAUUAGAUACCCUGGUAGUCCACGCCGUAAACGAUGAGUGCUAAGUGUUAGAGGGUUUCCGCCCUUUAGUGCUGCAGCUAACGCAUUAAGCACUCCGCCUGGGGAGUACGGUCGCAAGACUGAAACUCAAAGGAAUUGACGGGGGCCCGCACAAGCGGUGGAGCAUGUGGUUUAAUUGGAAGCAACGCGAAGAACCUUACCAGGUCUUGACAUCCUCUGACAACUCUAGAGA
rnacentral:rRNA from 2 species